AGCAGGGAUCUGAUCUGAAAAUAUUUUAAAUUUAAAACCUUUUUAACUUAUAGAAGAAAAUGAUGUGUGAACUCAAAGUAUAAACCUUUGACCUUUUAAACAAUAAUAGCUCCUCUUUGAGGAUAUUGAAUAUUAUGAGAAGGUGAACUGGAGUUUGACCUGUUUUCAGGAUUCUGUCUCUCCCACUGGGGCUAAAAGAAAUAAUGCAGAAUUUUUAUAAACUCUUUCUUUGCUUCAAUAUGUUUCAUUGUGUUUCUCUUUUUACACUGCUUCCUCCUUUCCCUUUACUGAAAUGCUGCAUAUGAAAUGUAUCUUUUCUGCCUUAUUUUAUCUUGCUUUCUCCGUGGCUGUUCCCUGCCCUCUGUUGGCAGGUUCCUUUGGACCUGUCUGUCUUGGGUGCAAGAGAGAAUCACAUAUAGUUAAAGUUCUUUUUUUGCAGGUCAGAUCAGUCAAGCAGAGAGAAGACUGGAAGAUAGGACAAAAUCCCUUUUUACUAGCCGUUGGGAGCUGGAAUUGAAUUUACCAUCCCUCUGUGUUGAAGAAGUCCUAAGGCUGCUAUUUCUACUGGACUUGGGGCAAGAGAUGUUGUCGGGGGUCUUGCCUUUGACAUGGAUUCCAGCUACAUGCUACUCAAAGGUAAGGGCUGUAUUAUUCACCUUUUCUUGUAUUCACCCUUACAGCUGUGCAAGUCAGCCAGUGUUCAAUAAAGAAAUAUCAUACCUAAGAAUAAAA